rnacentral:lncRNA from 1 species
UCCUGACCUCGUGAUCCACCCUCCUCGGCCUCCCAAAGUGCUGGGAUUACAGGCGUGACCCACUGUGCCCGGUUGAGAUUUCUAUGCCUCUUUACCCUCUCUGCCCUGAAACUUUUUGUAGUACAAAUCAUACAAAGUCAUAAGUGGGGAUGUCACAAUUUACCCCGUCAGGGAAAGCAGACAUUUACAAGUACUUAAAAUAAAAUGAGAAUGUUAUAAGGGAAGAAACUCAUGUGAGGGGACUUGGUUGCUUAAAGAUCAGGAAUGUCUCUGAAGUAAUGACAUCUAAGCUGGGAACUGAAGGAUCACCAGGAAUUAGACCAAUGGGAAUGUGGGUGGGUAUUCCAGGCAGAAAGUAGGAUACAUUUGAAAGUACAGAGGUGAGGCCCUCAGGGAAAGUCGUGGAGCUAAGAGAGAUUUGGACCAUAUGUGGAGAGGAAGAGAGGAAGGACAUGAAGUUAGAGGGUCUAGGGACUUCUCUGCAGGGUGGAUUAAGGGAUCAAGGGACACACAGAGCCAGGGAUACUAAUGAUGUUAGUAGACAGCAAGAGAUCUUGGAAGGAACCUGGGAAGGGGCAGUCAGAAAUGCAGAAUAAAAACCAGAAAUGAGUAAUGACAUACAAGACAACUAGUGAGGGAAAAUUCACUUUGUGAAAAGGGCCAACAAUGUGUCAACUACAGCAAGGAAGUCAAGGCUGAAAAGGCUAAAAAGUGGCUGUGGGAUCAAUUAAUGAAGGCAGCGUUGAGGCCUUGGUGAGCACAGUUGUGAGAGAAGAGGUAGAAACCAAAUCGUAGCAGUGGAAAAACAAAUGAAGCUUGAAGAACAGAAGGUGUUUUAAAGAAAGCUGUCUGUUGGGAAGUGAAGGAAGGUGACGUUCCUACAAAAAGAGAAGUACACCAUAACGUUGGUAUGAGUGAAAUCAUUCAUUUUUCACUGAACGCUUACUUCAUGCUGGGACCUAAGCAACAACUGUGGCGACAAUGGACUUAUUGGUAAUUUACUAUGUGCAGACACUCUCCUCACUUUUUGACAGAGAACGUUGAUUAGAUGACCAAAAGUGCCCGGCCCUUUGCCAAGUGUGAUAGAAAACAGGGAGAAGGUAUCAUCAUCGUUUCACAGAUGCCUACAUUCCAAAGGAUCUCAUCAGAGCAUAAGAGCUCUUCCAGCUGUUGUUUAUCCAUGAAUUAUUAUUGCAAUGCUUAACCGGAGAUAGAAACUCACCAUGAGCGUAUCAACCUUUCCUCUUCAGAAGUUUCACUUCAGUUUGAAAGAAAACGCAACUGGUGAAACAAUUGCUGUGUGUCAUAAAUUAUAGGUAUCUGACAUUCAUUACAAGGAAAGCAACAGUCAAAUAUCAUGGGACUCAUAUUUAUUUAUGUCUAUAUUAUCUGUAGAUAUUAUAGAUAAUAUAUAUGUAUACUUUGACAGAGAAGGAAGAACACCACUCUGGAGUGUUUAAUCUACCAUAGUUUGAUACUGUCUUUCUUGUUUGUGCCAAUUUGAAUUACUUGGUUCUGUUUUUUGGUUAUCUGCAAUUAGUGUGCUAUUUAUUUCCAGAAUAGAGGAAACUGAAGCUUACUCUGUGUACACAAAAGAAUACUGUACCCAUUCAGUCAUGUACAAAUAGAGUUAUCUCAUGGAAAA